UACAGAGGGUGCAAGCGUUAAUCGGAAUUACUGGGCGUAAAGCGUGCGUAGACGGUUAUGUAAGUCAGAUGUGAAAGCCCCGGGCUCAACCUGGGAAUUGCAUUUGAGACUGCAUAGCUAGGGUGCGGAAGAGGGAAGCGGAAUUUCCGGUGUAGCGGUGAAAUGCGUAGAUAUCGGAAGGAACACCAGUGGCGAAAGCGGCUUCCUGGUCCAGCACCGACGUUCAGGCGCGAAAGCGUGGGGAGCAAACAGG
rnacentral:rRNA from 1 species